rnacentral:tRNA from 1 species
GGCGGGGUAGCUCAGUGGUUAGAGCAGCGGCUUCAUAAGCCGCGUGUCGCGGGUUCGACCCCCGCCCCCGCUA